AUUGAACGCUGGCGGCAUGCCUUACACAUGCAAGUCGAACGGCAGCGCGGGAGCAAUCCUGGCGGCGAGUGGCGAACGGGUGAGUAAUAUAUCGGAACGUGCCCAGUAGUGGGGGAUAGCCCGGCGAAAGCCGGAUUAAUACCGCAUACGACCUAAGGGUGAAAGGGGGGGAUUCGCAAGAACCUCUCGCUAUUGGAGCGGCCGAUAUCAGAUUAGGUAGUUGGUGGGGUAAAAGCCUACCAAGCCUGCGAUCUGUAGUUGGUCUGAGAGGACGACCAGCCACACUGGGACUGAGACACGGCCCAGACUCCUACGGGAGGCAGCAGUGGGGAAUUUUGGACAAUGGGCGCAAGCCUGAUCCAGCAAUGCCGCGUGCAGGAAGAAGGCCUUCGGGUUGUAAACUGCUUUUGUCAGGGAAGAAAUCCUCUGGGUUAAUACCUCGGGGGGAUGACGGUACCUGAAGAAUAAGCACCGGCUAACUACGUGCCAGCAGCCGCGGUAAUACGUAGGGUGCGAGCGUUAAUCGGAAUUACUGGGCGUAAAGCGUGCGCAGGCGGUUGUGCAAGACAGGUGUGAAAUCCCCGGGCUUAACCUGGGAACUGCACUUGUGACUGCACAGCUAGAGUACGGUAGAGGGGGAUGGAAUUCCGCGU
rnacentral:rRNA from 1 species